UACGUAGGGUGCAAGCGUUGUCCGGAAUUAUUGGGCGUAAAGAGCUUGUAGGCGGUUUGUCGCGUCUGCUGUGAAAUUUCGGGGCUCAACCCCGAACUUGCAGUGGGUACGGGCAGACUAGAGUGUGGUAGGGGAGACUGGAAUUCCUGGUGUAGCGGUGAAAUGCGCAGAUAUCAGGAGGAACACCGAUGGCGAAGGCAGGUCUCUGGGCCAUAACUGACGCUGAGAAGCGAAAGCAUGGGGAGCGAACCGG
rnacentral:rRNA from 1 species